GACGAACGCUGGCGGUGUGCUUAACACAUGCAAGUCGAACGGUAAGGCCCUUUCGGGGGUACACGAGUGGCGAACGGGUGCGUAACACGUAAGUAACCUGCCCUCAUCUCUGGGAUAACAGUCGGAAACGGUUGCUAAUACUGGAUAUGAGCUUGCAAGGCAUCUUGUGGGUUGGAAAGAUUUUUUUGGUUGGGGAUGGACUCGCGGCCUAUCAGCUUGUUGGUGAGGUAGUGGCUCACCAAGGCUUCGACGGGUAGCCGGCCUGAGAGGGCGACCGGCCACAUUGGGACUGAGAGAAGGCCCAAACUCCUACGGGAGGCAGCAGUGGGGAAUAUUGCACAAUGGACGGAAGUCUGAUGCAGCAACGCCGCGUGCGGGAUGACGGCCUUCGGGUUGUAAAACGCUUUCAAUUGUGACGAAGCUUUUUGUGACGGUAGCAGUAGAAGAAGCACCGGCUAACUACGUG
rnacentral:rRNA from 1 species